GGACCGUUAGCUCAGUUGGUAGAGCAACUGACUCUUAAUCAGUGGGUCUAGGGUUCGAGCCCCUAACGGUCCACCA
rnacentral:tRNA from 1 species